rnacentral:rRNA from 1 species
GAUGACGCGGCGGCAUGCUUACACUGCAAGUCGAACGGCAGCGGGGGAGAAGCUUGCUUCUUCCGCCGGCGAGUGGCGAACGGGUGAGUAAUACAUCGGAACGUGCCCUGUAGUGGGGGAUAACUAGUCGAAAGAUUAGCUAAUACCGCAUACGACUGAGGGUGAAAGUGGGGGACCGCAAGGCCUCAUGCUAUAGGAGCGGCCGAUGUCUGAUUAGCUAGUUGGUGGGGUAAAGGCCCACCAAGGCGACGAUCAGUAGCUGGUCUGAGAGGACGAUCAGCCACACUGGGACUGAGACACGGCCCAGACUCCUACGGGAGGCAGCAGUGGGGAAUUUUGGACAAUGGGCGAAAGCCUGAUCCAGCAAUGCCGCGUGUGUGAAGAAGGCCUUCGGGUUGUAAAGCACUUUUGUCCGGAAAGAAAUGGCUCUGGUUAAUACCUGGGGUCGAUGACGGUACCGGAAGAAUAAGGACCGGCUAACUACGUGCCAGCAGCCGCGGUAAUACGUAGGGUCCAAGCGUUAAUCGGAAUUACUGGGCGUAAAGCGUGCGCAGGCGGUUGUGCAAGACCGAUGUGAAAUCCCCGAGCUUAACUUGGGAAUUGCAUUGGUGACUGCACGGCUAGAGUGUGUCAGAGGGGGGUAGAAUUCCACGUGUAGCAGUGAAAUGCGUAGAGAUGUGGAGGAAUACCGAUGGCGAAGGCAGCCCCCUGGGAUAACACUGACGCUCAUGCACGAAAGCGUGGGGAGCAAACAGGAUUAGAUACCCUGGUAGUCCACGCCCUAAACGAUGUCAACUAGUUGUUGGGGAUUCAUUUCCUUAGUAACGUAGCUAACGCGUGAAGUUGACCGCCUGGGGAGUACGGUCGCAAGAUUAAAACUCAAAGGAAUUGACGGGGACCCGCACAAGCGGUGGAUGAUGUGGAUUAAUUCGAUGCAACGCGAAAAACCUUACCUACCCUUGACAUGCCACUAACGAAGCAGAGAUGCAUUAGGUGCUCGAAAGAGAAAGUGGACACAGGU